CCCGAUGUGAUUAUUAUUGUGCAUACAGGAAGUGCUAAAUGGGCAGCAUAUAAACGGAAAGGGAGAAUAUAAUGUAGAAGGUUUGGUGAUUCACGGGCUGUCGAACUAAACGACAAUUAGUCGCAUUUUUGUACAUUAUCGAAUAAAAAAAUUAUAGUUUAGACGUGUUUCUGAUGAAGUGGAAUGGACAUUCUGCUUAAAUGUGAGUUUUUAAUCCCUUCUUGUUUCCCUUUAAUGACUAUUCAUAAAUUCGUGUCUUUGUGACCCGUUUGUGAUCGGUGUUUUUUUAUUUCGCUUUCGAUCCUUCAAAUAAUGUUUAGUUUCUUGCAUGUACCUUUAUAAUGGCUAGCAUUUCGUUUCAUGAUUUUGAUUUCAAGUAACGUUUCUUUCUUUUUAGUUUUUUCUCUUUCAUGUUCAGGACUGUAUGACGAAAACGGUCGACAAAGGAAAAAGCAAACGUACAGAACCUGAUAGGUCAUGGUUGAACGAAGCUGAAGAUGACUGGUCACUUAGCAUUUAGAUGUGCCUCACUGAAGUGCAUAAGAUAAGUAAUCUUUCAGUUUGAGCAAAACUUUUGGCCUAUAUAACGAAAGGUAAGGCUUUGAGUUUCUUUUUUCUUUCCGUGCUUUCUUUACCACGGCGUAUUGUUGGCUUCCACUAUUCGUGCUUCAUUAUUGUUUCGCAGGUUGUUUCUUUUUAUGUGUCUUUCGUAUUUUUGUAUUCUUUCUUUCGACCAGCGAAACAAGUUUAUUUUUCAUCAUAAACUCCAAUGAGCAGACGUACAAUUCUGACGAUGGAGGAAGCGGACUGUACACGACUCAACACAAACUGCAAAUAAGGGACUAAAUCCUUGAAGCAAGAUUUUACCAAGUGGAUGAACUUGGAAUGACCACCAAAGAUAAUGCAACUAUCCAU